CCCGCUGAGGAGUGCACAGAUGCUCUAAAAGCUGGGUCUGGGUUUGGUGGUUGCAGAAUUUCUGGCAAGCCAACGUGGACCUUCAAGAGCUUCAAGAUGUCCUUCAGCCAAGCUUUCAACUUAACCAGAUACCAACAUCUCUGAGUGUGUCUGCAUGAAGGAGAGUUCACGCACAGGACACAGGAAUUGAGAAAUUAAUCCUACCAUGUGAGUUGUCUUGCUGUUUGCUCAUGUUGGUUAGUGAGCAUAGUUUGAAUCCUAGAGGACCUGAAAAAGAGACACUCCAGAGGUAUUUCAGCAUUGGUCCAGAAGCACAUACUGCACUCUUGCCAGGGAGUUAAGUUCUGUGUGGUAGGGACCUGCCUGAAAUUGACACAGCUUUUCUCUGGAACAUUAACAAAUUAAUUACAGAAACACUAAACUCUGUCCUUAAUUUGUCCACCUGCUUAUCUUCAGAAGAAACAGAAGACGAAAUGACACAAGGAGGAGAAGGCCAUGUGUAGAUGGAGGCAGAGAUGGGAGUGAUGCAGCCACAAACCAAGGAAUCCCAGCAGCCACCCAGGAUGGAGAGAAAAGAAUGGAAUGUGUCCUAGAG